CUUCAGUCCUCCUAUUCCAAUGUGGACUGGCUGGUCUCUAACUAAGCCUGUGCACCAAUUAGCUAUUUCUGCACCACAAAUUGCUUUAAAAUGUGGUGGUUAAAGACAACAAUUAUUCAGCUCAAUUCUGCAGGUUGGUGAAUUGGGCUGAGCUCUGCACACUGGUCCGCCUAGGCUCAGCUGGACUUCCUUAGGCAUCUGCAGUUAACUGCAGCCCUGCUUAUGGGGCUACGGGUGGAGUAGCUGGCUAUAGGAUGGUAUGCCCCAUGAUCUCUUAUCCUCCAGUGGGUUAGCCCAGAUUGCAUGGUGGAGACAAGGGCUGCAUAGACAGAGGAAGUAAUUAACCAAGACCUCUUGAGGCUAGGAUUAGAACUGGUUUGGUAUGACUUCCAUCACAUUUUACUGGCCAAACAAGUCACAAUGGCAGUCUAGAAUCAAGGGGUAGAACAGAUUCCAAGUUUCAGUGAAAGAUUCUGAAAGUCAGUCUGCAAAGAGCACAGAUAUGGGAAGGUCACAAACUGGGGCUUUCAAUUGAAGCAACUCAGCAGUCUGAUGCAUAGCCAUUGUGCUGGGGUCUCCUCUCACUACCAUCAGGUUUCUGAAACCAUAGCAGUGAUUUUAACUGCAUACGCAGGAAGACGGGGCUGAGGGGGGUGGGGGUGAAGGUCAUGGCUCAGCUGGUGCUGGUAUCUCUGAGAGCACUGUAGAUUCUACAAGUGUUGGGAAGACUGGAUUUAGCUGUUGUUCAAGAAAAAGGUUCUUCUGCCAGGGUGAAGAAGUGGCCAGUGUGAUCCUCUCAGGAACUGCAAGGAGACAGGAAGCAAACAGGAAGAAGCAAGUCCCUUCUUCCUUCUCCAGCCCUCCAGUUUCCUUCUAGCAAGCCCCUUCCUCAUUAGCACAACUUAACAGGGAGCCAGCUGGCCAAGGCAGAAGGGGAGAGGCAGAGUCUGGACCUCAGCAUCAUGUAGCAGAGUAUUAGAAAUAUGAGUUUGCAGUUGUGAGACAAUAUGCUAAUAAUGGGAACCCCGAGACCACAGGGUGAAGAAGCAAAAGCCAGCCUCCUGCAAAGUGAAAGACAAUAGGGAGGGAGAAGUUAACCAUCCCAGCAGAUCCCAGCCCUCAGUCACACCAGCUACCAGCUGACUGCAAAAAAGUGAAAUCAGUUCAUAUCAGCAGAAGCGCCACCUACCUCAGCCCAGCCCAAACCACAGACUUACACACUUGUGAACAAAUAAAAUGAUUUUUGUACUAAGCCA